UACGUAGGGUGCAAGCGUUAAUCGGAAUUACUGGGCGUAAAGCGUGCGCAGGCGGUUUUGUAAGUCUGUCGUGAAAUCCCCGGGCUCAACCUGGGAAUGGCGAUGGAUACUGGCGAGCUAGAGUGUGUCAGAGGAUGGUGGAAUUCCCGGUGUAGCGGUGAAAUGCGUAGAGAUCGGGAGGAACAUCAGUGGCGAAGGCGGCCAUCUGGGACAACACUGACGCUGAAGCACGAAAGCGUGGGGAGCGAACAGG
rnacentral:rRNA from 1 species